UACAGAGGGUGCGAGCGUUGUCCGGAAUUACUGGGCGUAAAGGGCGCGUAGGCGGUUCGGUAAGUAGGGGGUGAAAUGCUGCGGCUCAACCGCAGCCCUGCCUUCUAGACUGCCGGACUCGAGCACAGUAGAGGCAGGUGGAAUUCCCGGUGUAGCGGUGGAAUGCGUAGAGAUCGGGAAGAACAUCGGUGGCGAAGGCGGCCUGCUGGGCUGUUGCUGACGCUGAGGCGCGACAGCGUGGGGAGCAAAC
rnacentral:rRNA from 1 species